UAAUUUAUUAUUGAAAAAAGCAGAUAUGAAUAAACUGGGAACAUAACGGUGCUUGGUAGAACACAGAGCUAAAAGCUAAGUCGGUUACAAGAGUAUCACUAUUAAUAUUAUGAGCACAGUGAGCAACCGUCUGUCAAAAGUUGAUAACCGGCAAAGAAUCAGUUUCAGCCCCUGCUUGAUUUAAGCAACAAUAAGGUUGACAAAUAAUCAGUUUCAGCACUGCUUGAACUUAAGCAACAAUAAGGUUGGAUUAAUUCAUUUGGUAUUUAUCAUGUGAUUAAGUCUCUGAUAGUUAAUUUUUUCUUUUUGAAAUUGCCUUGUGCCUUAUUUCUCUCUUUAUGAAUUUUUGCGAAUUCAUCUAUAUGUUGAUGAGUUUUUCAUUGCUCCGUUUUUGGGGAAUCACAAUGACUGAUAACAAUUGCCAAUUUCUGAUCUUCAAAUGCAGAUAAUUUGUCUUUUUUUUAAUUUCUAGAACAUUUUGUUGAAGUAGAGAAUUUUGCGUGUUAAUGGCUCUGGUUUUCUGCUUUUUGUCGAAGUAUUGGUAUUCUUCUUAAUGUGAGUGUAGAUUUUAUCAUGCAUGAGAAUCGUUGCUAUAUAUAUUCUUUGCAAUCUCUAAUUUUUCAAUUCUGUAGAUGUGUUGCAAUUGAAAUUCAUUUAUUAUAUUGUUUUAGCUUUUGAUUUUGGUUUCUGCAGUUCUGCAUGUGAAAGUUAAUCAAACACUGCAUUUUAUUCUGCAUUUUAUGAUUAUAUGAUGUAAAAAAAAAUUAUACUGAGUGUAUUUUAAUGAAUUGAAUUCUAUUGGAACAAUGCCUAAAUUUUCAAUAUAUAGCGUAGAAUAUAAUGCGUUUCCAAAAAUGUUGUAUAUAUAACACACGGAGGUGAUAUAAGCCGCUUGUUUGAAUGAGUGAGGUCUAAUGUCCCUAAUACUGAGUUUAUAUAUUGUUUGGACAAAAAGCGGUGUCUAAGUUCUAUGUUUAGUGACCUCGCAGUCUUGCUCCCAAGCCUAACACAACUCGUAGUCUUGCACUCGGCGCAGCAGCCAAUACUCAAGCUUGCUCAUCCUUGGCCUGAGUGGUUCCAACUCAUGAAGUGCUUGCUCGACAAGGGACACUUCUGUCGUGAAGAGGGAAAAAUGUUAUGCAAUGCUGGUAUGGGCAUGAAGGAUUUCAAUGUCAUUAGAACGAAGUGUGCCUCAAUUUCGGCAGAGACCACUUUCAUCUUUUAAGGAGAUUUUUUAGAUAAAGGAGGGUAUUUCAACAAAUAAUGCAUGCUGGGAAAUUGGAGAAUCACCGGUUAAGUUAGUGGGCUGAACAUUAGUUAAUGACCUUUUCGGAAACUUAUUCUGUUCAUAUUGUUUUUAUUGGUCUAAAAUUUCCCACGUAGCCUUCAGUGUGUAAGAUUGAAAUAACUCAUUCUCCAGAGAAUCUCACUUUCAUGCUAGAGAUGUCAUUUUUGGUUCUCCGAGUUGUGUAAUGGGAGGAGAAGGUAAAGGAAUUGGAUUGGCUAAGUGGAAAUUUUAUUUUAUAUAUAUACAUGAGACUUGCCAUUAUAUUAUUCAAAUGUGAAUAACAAGGAAGAUCUAUUUGAUUAGAAAAUGGGAAAUUUUGGGUCU